rnacentral:rRNA from 1 species
UACGGAGGGUCCAAGCGUUAUCCGGAAUCAUUGGGUUUAAAGGGUCCGUAGGCGGUUUUGUAAGUCCGUGGUGAAAGCCCGUCGCUCAACGGCGGAACGGCCAUUGAUACUGCAAGACUUGAAUUAUUGGGAAGCAACUAGAAUAUGUAGUGUAGCGGUGAAAUGCUUAGAGAUUACAUGGAAUACCAAUUGCGAAGGCAGGUUGCUACCAAUACAUUGACGCUGAUGGACGAAAGCGUGGGGAGCGAACAGG